CAACAAAAAAGUUAUACUAAUUUCAAUAAAAUUGGUUAUUACUACCAUGAAAUUUCUGUGAUGCUAUUAACUGUUUUUGCUCUUUUUUAGAAAAUUUAGAAAAAUAAAUUGAAAUUUCGUGCCACUACUGACAUGUCACAUGUUAUUGUAUGUAAAGAUUAAAUUUUUGUUAUGAGAACUACAGUUCUUAUGAAAGAAAAAGAUUCACUAAAAGCCUACUACUACUACUACUACUCUGGUAAAUCACAUCAGCUUUAUCAGAAUUUAGAAAAAUGAAUUAAACUACAACUUUUGAACAGUCAUUGUUUGUGAAGGUUAAAUUAUUUGCAUG